rnacentral:rRNA from 1 species
UACAGAGGUCCCAAGCGUUGUUCGGAUUCAUUGGGCGUAAAGGGUGCGUAGGUGGCGCCGUAAGUCGGGUGUGAAAUUUCGGAGCUUAACUCCGAAACUGCAUUCGAUACUGCGGUGCUUGAGGACUGGAGAGGAGACUGGAAUUUACGGUGUAGCGGUGAAAUGCGUAGAUAUCGUAAGGAAGACCAGUGGCGAAGGCGGGUCUCUGGACAGUUCCUGACGCUGAGGCACGAAAGGCCAGGGGGAGCAAACGGGG